ACGGGAGGCAGCAGUGGGGAAUAUUGGACAAUGGGGGAAACCUUGAUCCAGCGAUGCCGCGUGAAUGAAGAAGGCAUUAGGGUUGUAAAGUUCUUUCACCUGUGACGAUGAUGACGGUAGCAGGAGAAGAAGUCCUGGCUAACUGCGUGCCAGCACCCGCGGUAAGAUGGAGGGGGCUAGCGUUGUUCGGAAUGACUGGGCGUAAAGGGCGCGUAGGCGGCUUAUCAAGUCAGGUGUGAAAGCCUUGGGCUCAACCCAAGAACUGCGCCUGAUAAAAUUAAGCUUGAGGAUGAUAGAGGAAAGCGGAAUUCCUAGUGUAGAGGUUCCCAGGUAGAUAUUAGGAAGAACACCAGAAACGAAGGCGGCUUUCUGGAUCAUAUCUGACGCGAGGCGCGAAAGCGUGGGGAGCAAACAGGAUUAGAUACCCUGGUAGUCCACGCUGUAAACGAUGAGUGCUAGACGUUAGGGAUUAAGCUUUAGUGUCACAGACAACGCGUUAUUCAUUCCGCCUGGGGAGUACGGUCGCAAGAUUAAAACUCAAAGGAAUUGACGGGGGCUCGUACAAGCGGUGGAGCAUGUGGUUUAAUUUGAACCAACGCGAAGAACCUUAC
rnacentral:rRNA from 1 species